AAGGCGCUGGGGCUGGAGAGAGACGACGUCUACUGGGCCUGAUAAUGGACUCAAAACUACAGAAGUAAACACAGGAAGGAAAAAAGUACCGAGAGAGAGGGGCGUGUAUUGAGCUGCUUCGGGUUCCUGAAAUAUUUCAAGGGAUUCUUAGCCUCCUCAGUAGGGUACCAGCAGUGUCCCUCCAGGAGGCUUGUGCCCUAGAAGAUGAGGGACCAGCAAACAGCUCAGAGAUGAGCCAAGAGGGAUAGGACUGCCCAUCCCAGGGCUUCUGGAGAGUGAACAGCCUUGUCCUUGCAGCAGCUACACACAGCUAGUUAAUCAAGAAAAAACAAAAAAUAAAAUUUAAAAAUGUAGCUCCUGCAUUCCACAGCAUUCCAAGGCUCUACCUCCAUCAGGGAGAACCUCACUCCUCCUGCAGCCUUAAGCCUCAGCCCUUCGCCUUAGCCUCUGAGGCUCCUUGGCCUCCGUUCCCUCUGCCUCCUCUCUCCAUGCCUCUGCCUGGAGCAGGGAACGACUCUGGAGACAGUGAAUGGGUCCUGAAGGUGGGAAAAUUUCACAAGAUGCCCCCGCCCCAAUCUGGGCAUUUAGACAAAUCUCAGAAGAGCUGUUUUCUGCUCUUAAAAUUGCACUAGGCAAGAUAUGCCCAUAAGAAGGGAGUGGGUGUCUGCCUGAUUUGGAGGAUGACACAGGGACCCAGGACAGACCUGAAGACAAGUGUACCAUGCUGUCAGGCAAACUCCCAGAGAGCCCAGGUCACGUGUCAGAGAAAGGGCUUUAACACAGGAUUCUUAGCCAUGGAGCCCAAGGCUCACCCCCAUGCAAGGGAGGGAACAACACAGCUUGGGGACAAAGGCUUCUGAGCCCAUUAAUGAAUGGGACCAAAGCCUUCAGGAGGAAUGAGAUCACCGCCUGCUUUCUGUCCACCGUGGGGCACCCGUGCACUUCAAGCAAGGCCCAGGAGGAGCUGCCAGCACAGAUCUGUCCAGGACUGCUCAUGUUCCAGCGCACCAGAUUGCCCGCUCCAAGACCACCAAUUACAGUCAGAGACAACUACCUCUGGCUUGAGCAGCGUGUGAGAGGUAGCCAGCGCUGAGGGGGCCAGAGCACAGCCGUCCAGAGAUCACACAGCCCCAAACACACAAACUUUCUCAUCUCUAAGGGGAAGAGGCGGGCUGACACAGGCAUGAUUGUCAAAGCUUUUCCAUAAAACCUUAGCGAUUUCUGAUCACACUUGGCAAACAUCCUUUGUGGGUGUGGAUUUCCAGCUAGCCUGUAAAUUCCUUAGAGCUGAAGAUCAAGUCUAAUUCCCCUUUGUAUUAUCAAUUAAACAUCACACGGGGCACAUGGGAGGCUUAAU
rnacentral:lncRNA from 13 species